UGGGGAUAUGGUUUAAUUGGUAAAACGUUGAUUUUGCAUAUCUUUGUUUCAGGUUCAAAUCCUGAUAUCUCCAA
rnacentral:tRNA from 1 species